rnacentral:rRNA from 1 species
GACGAACGCUGGCGGCGUGCUUAACACGUGCAAGUCGAACGGUGAACGAGGGAGCUUGCUCCCUCCGGAUCAGUGGCGAACGGGUGAGUAACACGUGAGCAAUCUGCCCUGGACUCUGGGAUAAGCGUUGGAAACGACGUCUAAUACCGGAUACGAGGCGUGGGGGCAUCCCCAACGCCUGGAAAGAACUUCGGUCCAGGAUGAGCUCGCGGCCUAUCAGCUUGUUGGUGAGGUAACGGCUCACCAAGGCGACGACGGGUAGCCGGCCUGAGAGGGUGACCGGCCACACUGGGACUGAGACACGGCCCAGACUCCUACGGGAGGCAGCAGUGGGGAAUAUUGCACAAUGGGCGCAAGCCUGAUGCAGCAACGCCGCGUGAGGGACGACGGCCUUCGGGUUGUAAACCUCUUUUAGCAGGGAAGAAGCGAAAGUGACGGUACCUGCAGAAAAAGCACCGGCUAACUACGUGCCAGCAGCCGCCGUAAAAC